AUUAAACGCUGGCGGCAUGCCUUACACAUGCAAGUCGAACGGCAGCAUGGGUGCUUGCACCUGAUGGCGAGUGGCGGACGGGUGAGUAAUACAUCGGAACGUGCCCUGAAGUGGGGGAUAACGCAGCGAAAGCUACGCUAAUACCGCAUAUUCUGUGAGCAGGAAAGCAGGGGAUCGCAAGACCUUGCGCUUUGGGAGCGGCCGAUGUCGGAUUAGCUAGUUGGUGGGGUAAUGGCCUACCAAGGCGACGAUCCGUAGCGGGUCUGAGAGGAUGAUCCGCCACACUGGGACUGAGACACGGCCCAGACUCCUACGGGAGGCAGCAGUGGGGAAUUUUGGACAAUGGGCGGAAGCCUGAUCCAGCCAUGCCGCGUGAGUGAAGAAGGCCUUC
rnacentral:rRNA from 1 species